rnacentral:rRNA from 1 species
GGGUUGUGAGGUUAAGCGACUAAGCGUACACGGUGGAUGCCCUGGCAGUCAGAGGCGAUGAAGGGCGUGCUAAUCUGCGAUAAGCGCCGGUAAGGUGAUAUGAACCGUUAUAACCGGCGAUACCCGAAUGGGGAAACCCAGUGUGAUUCGUCACACUAUCAUUAACUGAAUCCAUAGGUUAAUGAGGCGAACCGGGGGAACUGAAACAUCUAAGUACCCCGAGGAAAAGAAAUCAACCGAGAUUCCCCCAGUAGCGGCGAGCGAACGGGGAGGAGCCCAGAGCCUGAAUCAGCAUGUGUGUUAGUGGAAGCGUCUGGAAAGGCGCGCGAUACAGGGUGACAGCCCCGUACACAAAAGCGCAUGUGCUGUGAGCUCGAUGAGUAGGGCGGGACACGUGGUAUCCUGUCUGAAUAUGGGGGGACCAUCCUCCAAGGCUAAAUACUCCUGACUGACCGAUAGUGAACCAGUACCGUGAGGGAAAGGCGAAAAGAACCCCGGCGAGGGGAGUGAAAAAGAACCUGAAACCGUGUACGUACAAGCAGUGGGAGCACAGGUUUACCUGUGUGACUGCGUACCUUUUGUAUAAUGGGUCAGCGACUUAUAUUCUGUAGCAAGGUUAACCGUAUAGGGGAGCCGUAGGGAAACCGAGUCUUAACCGGGCGUUAAGUUGCAGGGUAUAGACCCGAAACCCGGUGAUCUAGCCAUGGGCAGGUUGAAGGUUGGGUAACACUAACUGGAGGACCGAACCGACUAAUGUUGAAAAAUUAGCGGAUGACCUGUGGCUGGGGGUGAAAGGCCAAUCAAACCGGGAGAUAGCUGGUUCUCCCCGAAAGCUAUUUAGGUAGCGCCUCGUGAAUUCAUCUCCGGGGGUAGAGCACUGUUUCGGCUAGGGGGCCAUCCCGGCUUACCAACCCGAUGCAAACUGCGAAUACCGGAGAAUGUUAUCACGGGAGACACACGGCGGGUGCUAACGUCCGUCGUGAAGAGGGAAACAACCCAGACCGCCAGCUAAGGUCCCAAAGUCAUGGUUAAGUGGGAAACGAUGUGGGAAGGCCCAGACAGCCAGGAUGUUGGCUUAGAAGCAGCCAUCAUUUAAAGAAAGCGUAAUAGCUCACUGGUCGAGUCGGCCUGCGCGGAAGAUGUAACGGGGCUAAACCAUGCACCGAAGCUGCGGCAGCGAACGUAUCACCCAAGACAACUUUGCGGAGUUGACGAUUGACGGAGCGAAGCGACGUCAAAGCGUUCAUUAAAGUCGAGUUGGCUUAGGGAUACGUUCGUUGGGUAGGGGAGCGUUCUGUAAGCCUGUGAAGGUGGCCUGUGAGGGUUGCUGGAGGUAUCAGAAGUGCGAAUGCUGACAUAAGUAACGAUAAAGCGGGUGAAAAGCCCGCUCGCCGGAAGACCAAGGGUUCCUGUCCAACGUUAAUCGGGGCAGGGUGAGUCGACCCCUAAGGC